UCUGCUUUCUCCAAGAGGUAAAAUCCCUUAUCUCAGCCCUUGAUUUCUCCAUUCCGCAACCUAUCCUCUCAAUCUUACAUCAAAUCCAUCCGUCCGUUUAUCUAUUUUCUACGGAUCUAUCUCUUCCCGCAAAAUGUCUGUUAGCGAACAAGCCUGCACCUACGCCUGCUUACUUCUACAUGAGGAUGGCAUUUCCAUCACGGCCGAUAAGAUCUCCGCCGUUAUGAGCGCGGCUGGUAUCGAGUUCGAGUCCUACUGGCCAGGCCUCUUUGCUAAGCUCGUGCAGAAGAGAAGUGUUGAGGAUGUCAUCUCCAACGUUGGAUCUGGUUCCCAUUAAAAUUUAACUAGCACUUUCAGCAACAUACAGUAGUCAUAAGGACUGCCUUCUCCAACAAUGGGGAGAUUGGGGCAUAAAGAAAUAAAAGAAAUCUGAUUUUUUAUUAUUUAGAUUUUUGUUCAUUUUUCAAAAUUUUAGUAAAUUUUAUUUAACAUUAGACAUGGAAUGAUAUAUAUAUUUUUUUAAUUAUUAAAUGUCAGACAGAGUGCUGGUACUGAGAA